rnacentral:rRNA from 1 species
UACGUAGGGUGCGAGCGUUGUCCGGAAUUAUUGGGCGUAAAGAGCUCGUAGGCGGCUUGUCGCGUCGGAUGUGAAAGCCCGGGGCUUAACCCCGGGUCUGCAUUCGAUACGGGCAGGCUAGAGUUCGGUAGGGGAGAUCGGAAUUCCUGGUGUAGCGGUGAAAUGCGCAGAUAUCAGGAGGAACACCAGUGGCGAAGGCGGAUCUCUGGGCCGAUACUGACGCUGAGGAGCGAAAGCGUGGGGAGCGAACAGG